rnacentral:rRNA from 1 species
GCACAAGCGGAGGAACAUGUGGUUAAUUCGAUGAUACGCGAGGAACCUUACCUGGGCUUAAAUGCAGAGUGCAUGGAGUGGAAACACUUCUUCCCUUCGGGGCUCUUUGCAAGGUGCUGCAUGGUUGUCGUCAGCUCGUGCCGUGAGGUGUCGGGUUAAGUCCCAUAACGAGCGCAACCCUUAUCGUUAGUUGCCAGCGGGUAAAGCCGGGAACUCUAGCGAAACUGCCGGUGUAAACCGAGAGGAAGGUGGGGAUGACGUCAAAUCAGCACGGCCCUUAUGUCCAGGGCUACACACGUGUUACAAUGGCCGGUACAGAGGGCAGCUACCUGGAGACAGGAUGCGAAUCUCGAAAGCCGGUCUCAGUUCGGAUCGGAGUCUGCAACUCGACUCCGUGAAGCUGGAUUCGCUAGUAAUCGCGCAUCAGCCAUGGCGCGGUGAAUACGUUCCCGGGCCUU